UCAGACGAUGCGUCAUGCAUAUCAAUAAGCGGAGGAAAAGAAACUAACAAGGAUUCCCCUAGUAACGGCGAGUGAAGCGGGAAGAGCUCAAAUUUGAAAUCUUAAAGGGUUUCCCUUUACGAAUUGUAGUUUAAAGAAGUGUUUUCUGUUGAGGUUUUGGUAAAAGUUCUUUGGAAUAGGACAUCAUAGAGGGUGAGAAUCCCGUAUUUGACCUUUACUUUCAACUUUGUGAUACACUUUCAAAGAGUCGGAUUGUUUGGGAAUGCAGUCCAAAAUGGGUGGUAAAUUUCAUCUAAAGCUAAAUAUUGGCGAGAGACCGAUAGCGAACAAGUACCGUGAGGGAAAGAUGAAAAGAACUUUGAAAAGAGAGUUAAACAGUACGUGAAAUUGUCAAAAGGGAAGCGUUUGACACCAGUGUUGUUUUUCUGAAAAUCAAUUAAAGAACUGUUUAUGCUAAGCUGUUUAGACUUUAUCAGCUAUCUGUUUAGUUUUGAGCUUUUCUUAAUGCACUUUUCAGUUAACAAGUCAACAUCAAUUUCUUUUGCUGUAAAAAAGCUUGAGGAAGGUGGCUUGAGAUUCGUCUUAAGUGUUUAUAGCCUCUUGCCUAUGCAGUCGGAGAGAUUGAGGUCUGCAGCGUAGAUCCUUCGGGGCUAAAUGCAUUUGUGCUAAGUUAUAGCAUUUUAUAGACAACUUGUUGACUAUGAUUUGUCUUGUAGCUUACUCGCUUAUGUUAUUUUACCUACGCUUAGGAUGUUGACACACGCGCGUGCUC
rnacentral:rRNA from 1 species